UACGAGAGCCCCGAGCGUUAUCCGGAAUUAUUGGGCGUAAAGGGUGCGUAGGCGGUUGUGUUAGUCGAGUGUUAAAGGCCCGAGCUUAACUUGGGAAAUGCAUUCGAAACGGCACGACUUAGAAUGAAGAAGAGGUGUGCGGAACUCAUGGUGUAGGGGUGAAAUCCGUUGAUAUCAUGGGGAACACCAAAUGCGAAAGCAGCACACUGGUCUUUUAUUGACGCUGAGGCACGAAAGCGUGGGUAGCGAAUGGG
rnacentral:rRNA from 1 species